rnacentral:rRNA from 1 species
UGCCAGCCGCCGCGGUAAUACGGAGGGUGCGAGCGUUAAUCGGAAUCACUGGGCGUAAAGCGUACGUAGGUGGCAAAGUCAGUCAGGCGUGAAAGCCCUCGGCUCAACCGAGGAAUUGCGUUUGAUACUACUUUGCUAGAGUCUCGGAGAGGUUGGCGGAAUUCCAGGUGUAGGAGUGAAAUCCGUAGAUAUCUGGAGGAACACCAGUGGCGAAGGCGGCCAACUGGACGAGUACUGACACUGAGGUACGAAAGCGUGGGUAGCAAACAGGAUUAGAUA